UACAGAGGUCUCAAGCGUUGUUCGGAUUCAUUGGGCGUAAAGGGUGCGUAGGCGGCGCGGUAAGUCGGGUGUGAAAUCUCGGGGCUUAACUCCGAAACUGCAUUCGAUACUGCCGUGCUUGAGGACUGGAGAGGAGACUGGAAUUUACGGUGUAGCGGUGAAAUGCGUAGAUAUCGAUAAGGAAGACCAGUGGCGAAGGCGGGUCUCCGUGGACAGCUUCCUUCGA
rnacentral:rRNA from 1 species